UCUAUCAGCCGGCUAUCGCUCUGCUUGCAGAAGCAGGGAGGAAAGUCCGGACAGCAAAGGGCAACACACCGGUUAAGAGCCGGCUCCCGGGCAACCAGGAAGAGAUAGUGCCACAGAAAAUAACUGCCCUCUCUGUUUCCGUAAGGAAGGAGUUUGGGUGAGGUUGAAAACGUGAGGUAAGAGCUCACGGCCUCUGCAGGUAACUGCAGAGGCGGGUAAACCUUGUGUGCUGUAAUGCCACGUAUACCAGCGUUUGAGGGCGGCUCGCCCGAGUUGGAGGGUAGGCAGCAAGAUCACUGUAGCAAUGCAGUGGCCAGAUAAAUGAUAGCCGUUUUAACCGCAGGGUUAAGAUCACAGAAUCCGGCUUAUGGCUGAUAGAUUUU
rnacentral:RNase_P_RNA from 1 species